GACGAACGCUGGCGGCGUUCCUAAUACAUGCAAGUAGUACGCAGUUGCGAACGUGUGAGUAACUCGUAGGUAACUACCUAUUAGAGGGGGAUAACUAUUGGAAACGAUAUCUACUACCGCGUACUAAUAGAUGGACAUGCGUUGUAUUAGCUAGUAGGUAGGGUAAUGGCCUACCUAGGCAACGAUACAUCGCAGACCUGAGAGGGUGAUCGGCCACACUGGGAGUGUGACACGGCCCAGACUACUACGGGAGGCAGCAGUAGGGAAUCUUGGGCAAUUGGGGGAACCCUGACCGAGCAACGGCGCGUGAGUGAGGAAGGUUUUCGAAUCGUAAAGCUCUGUUGUUGAGGAAGCGGUACUUAACCAGAAAGGGACGGCUAACUCCGUGCCAGCAGCCGCGGUAAUUC
rnacentral:rRNA from 1 species